rnacentral:rRNA from 1 species
AUCGAACGCUGGCGGCAGGCCUAACACAUGCAAGUCGAGCGAGCGGCGGACGGGUGAGUAAUGUAUGGGGACUGCCCGAUAGAGGGGGAUAACUACUGGAAACGGUGGCUAAUACCGCAUACUAUCGGAUAACCCAUAUGGGAUUAGCUAGUGGGUGGGGUAAAGGGUCACCUAGGCGACGACCUCUAGCUGGUCUGAGAGGAUGGUCGGCCGCACUGUGGCUGGGACACGGCCCCGACUCCUACGGGGGCAACAGUGGGGAAUAUUGCAGAAUGGACGAAAGCCUGAUGCGGCCAUGCCGCGUGUAUGAAGAGGGCCUUAGGGUUGUAAAGUACUUUCAGCGGGGAGGCGUUACCCGCAGAAGAAGCACCGGCUAACUCCGUGCCAGCAGCCGCGGUAAUAC